AUUGAACGCUGGCGGCAUGCCUUACACAUGCAAGUCGAACGGCAGCGGGGGAGAAGCUUGCUUUUCCUGCCGGCGAGUGGCGAACGGGUGAGUAAUACAUCGGAACGUGCCCUGUAGUGGGGGAUAACUAGUCGAAAGAUUAGCUAAUACCGCAUACGACCUGAGGGUGAAAGUGGGGGACCGCAAGGCCUCAUGCUAUAGGAGCGGCCGAUGUCUGAUUAGCUAGUUGGUGGGGUAAAGGCCUACCAAGGCGACGAUCAGUAGCUGGUCUGAAAGUACGAUCAGCCACACUGGGACUGAGACACGGCCCAGACUCCUACGGGAGGCAGCAGUGGGGAAUUUUGGACAAUGGGCGAAAGCCUGAUCCAGCAAUGCCGCGUGUGUGAAGAAGGCCUUCGGGUUGUAAAGCACUUUUGUCCGGAAAGAAAUGGCUCUGGUUAAUACCUGGGGUCGAUGACGGUACCGGAAGAAUAAGGACCGGCUAACUACGUGCCAGCCGCCGCAGUAA
rnacentral:rRNA from 1 species